CAUUUAUGGGGGUUCUGAGUCCUGGGAUAAUGAAACUCGGGUCAUCUGGCUUUUACUGCAAGUGCUUUUAUCCACAGAGUCAUUUUCCCAGCCGUGCUUUUGAUUUUUGUAUUUUGCUUUUAUAUUCUAGGAUGCAGAAUUUUCUUUCUAAAUCAUUAACUUUUCUGAUGCAAUCUUCAGGGUCUCUUUUAUUUGUUUGAUUGAUUGAUUGUUUUUCAAGGCAGUGUGUAGGCAUAAAGUUAUUGUGUAACUCAAAUGCUGAUUUCUGUAUCCCCCAUAUCUGGUUGUAGUCCUUGUUCUGAGAAUCUGCUGUCUCAAUGUUGUGUAAACCCUGCUCCCCAAUUUCUCCCUGAUAUGCCAAUAAAGCAGCUUACAGCCAAUCGUUGAGCAGGGGAGAGAAUACGGCUGGACUUCUUGCGAGCCAGUGGAGAAGUUAGAGGAGGAAGUAGGGGAUUCAGCCACAGGAGAUUUCCAAGAGAGACCAGAGAGAGAGCUGAGCAGAAAAGGAAAGCCCGAGUGCUGUCAGCUUCUAAAUGGAUGAAACUCUGCGUCUUGGGUUCUGCUUUCCUCGGGAACAACUGGAACACGUGGAGUGAGGUCUGUGCAACGAGACGUCCGACGUCACCUGGGAUGUGGAAAACGGCUUUCCCCCGUGCACGGUGUUACAGUAUCUCUUUAAUGAGGUAGUCGGAACCAGACGGCAGCAGAACCUCAGGGUUCAGAAGCCGAGGUAACAGCGGAGGUGUGGGCAAAUGCCCAUGCCAAAUGGUGACUGCUAGAAUGCAGGUUCCGGGGCUGAUAGAAGCCUGGCAGAGGCUUGCGGUGUGGAGAGGUCGGAGCUGACCGGGAAGAGCUGGGCAGGUGCCUCAUGGUGGCCGGACACGGUCCUCGAACUGGAAUGAACUGAGCAGCUGUCUCAGAUUAAGGUGUGUCUGCUAUGCCUGCGGCCGGCAGUCAAGCCUAGAGGUCCAACAGCGAACCCUUCAGGGAGGAGGGGAUCCCUUCUUUCCCCCAGAAUAAAUGACGAUCUUUGAUAAAAAUA